rfam:Rattus norvegicus chromosome 17, whole genome shotgun sequence.
CAAAAGGCUCUUUUAAGAGCCACCUAAAAUUUCAUGUAAAGUUGCU